AUGGAGGAGGAGUGCACUUGUCGCUGUGGCCUAGGCCCUUCGCGAGGAUGCCAGUGUCGCCAGCAGCGCCUGGGACCAGCUGAGAUGACUGCGGCCAACAGUAAGCCGGCCCGGGCCCCUGAAGAGCAGCACGUGGAGGCGGACACGGUGGCUGGGUCCUCUGCUGGGAGUGGAGGGAUCAGGAGCCCCAUGCCACCCCGGCCGCCCCCGCGAUGCUCGCUGCAGGACCUGCCUCCUGAGCUGCUGGUGGAGAUCUUCGCCUCGCUCCCCGGCACCGACCUGCUCAGCCUGGCCCAGGCCAGCACCAAAUUCCACAGCAUGCACCACACCGACAGCAUCUGGAGACGGCACUGCCGGGAGGAGUAUGGCGCUUGUGAAAACUUGCAGAACCUGGAGAUGAUGGGUGUGUCUUGGCGAGAACUCUAUGAGAAGUUGCUCCACCCAUGCAGACACAUUUUGGGAUUGUGGCAGCUAGAUAACUGGCCCUAUGGAGGACUGCUGUAUGUAGUGGUGGACAGCUUAUGCAUUAUUGGUCAGACGUACCUGUCUCUCCUUGACCCCCAGGUGGAUAACUCAAUGCAGUUCAAGCCCGCGUUUAGAAUUCGCCUGACAGAGAGGAAAUCGGCCACAAUGGAGUGCACGGAUGGCCGCCAAGGGCCCCACAGCUGCCACAUGCAGAUUCGGAAGGACGGGUUCUCCACCAAGUGCAACAUGAGGCAACACCACAGGAUACCUGGUGGGAGCCAAGAGGAUUUACAUGCGUGGCUGCAGGAAGAAUGGGGGCAGACGCUGGAGCACAUUUUCCAGGAGCACAGGCUGCGGGUCAUGCUGAAGAAGCUCAUCUACCAGCAGAAUGACAACUGCCGGAACUACCACCGCAUCUACCUCUCCCCCAGCCACCCGGAGGACCUCAUCAGGCCAGGCCUCUUCAAAGGCACCCACGAUGCCUACAGCCUAGUAGAGGUUGUCAUGCUCAGCUUCCAUGGGAAGCAUGCCAGGGUCACGAAGAUCACGGGCGACCACCACGUCCCUGCUGGGCAGCAGAUGAUAGAGAUCCACCUCAGGCACCGCAUCCAUUUGCCUGAUGAUAUCUUCAGCAACUUCAACAAGUACUCCCUCCUGGUCCAAGAGGUUCAUGAGCAGGUGAUCCAGGAGCAGCAGCAAGAAGACAGCACUGAGGCCUGCGAGGGCCAUGGCUGGCUGAGCCCUGCGCAGCCCAGUGUCGGGGAGUCCGGGGCUGCAGCUUUGGAGGAGCAGCCUGUCCAGUUUGUCCUGCCUGCGGGCGUGAACUCAAGUAACCAGAAUUACCCCCGAGCCUGCAGGAUGGGUUUCUAUUGCGUGGGCAUUGUUGCCCGCUCUGGCUCCGCCUACCCGCAGCGCAUCCCUGGAGUCUUCAUGCUGUUCGGUGAAGACAACUUCGGGUUCAUCUGGCUGGAACCGAAUUGCCUCAGCCUGUACAGCAGAGUCCAGGUCACCUUCCAGAAUGCGGAGGCACCAUCCCCACAGGCUUUCCAGGAGAUGCUCAAGAACAUUCAGUCCCCACCCCCUGACGGCCCCUUCCUUGCCCAGGGGCAACAGCGGGGAGAAGAGGCUUCAGAGGAACAGCAGCUUGCAUGCACUUUUGGAGAUUUGACCUUCUGA